rnacentral:rRNA from 1 species
CAAUAGCGUAUAUUAAAGUUGUUGCAGUUAAAAAGCUCGUAGUUGGAUCUGUGGUAGUUCCUGGGGUCCAAUUCUGGUACUCCUGGGGACUGCCAUCCUUGGGUGGAUCUUGUGUGGCAUUAGGUUGUCGCGCAGGGGAUGCCCAUCGUUUACUGUGAAAAAAUUAGAGUGUUCAAAGCAGGCUUAUGCCAUUGAAUAGAUUAGCAUGGAAUAAUGAGAUAGGACCUUGGUACUAUUUUGUUGGUUUGUGCACCAAGGUAAUGAUUAAUAGGGACAGUUGUGGGUAUUCGUAUUCCAUUGUCAGAGGUGAAAUUCUUGGAUUUUUGGAAGACGAACUAAUGCGAANGNAUUUACNAAGGAUGUUUNCAUUA